UUAGCUUCUUUAGAUAGUGUUUGUAGUCAUGAGUUUCAUGGAUACAAACACGUUAAACGUUACGUUUGUAUCUAUGAGGCUAAGGACUUUUUGAGUUGUUUGUCCACAUAGAUAAAAAUAUCUAAGUGGACGCUACCAUACAGCAAGAGUUCAGUGUAUUUUCACCUACCUCUCUAUAUGUGUCAGACCAUUUAGAUAUUCUAA
rnacentral:ncRNA from 1 species